rnacentral:rRNA from 1 species
ACGGAGGGUGCAAGCGUUAUCCGGAUUUAUUGGGUUUAAAGGGUCCGUAGGCGGGCCGAUAAGUCAGUGGUGAAAUCUCAUAGCUUAACUAUGAAACUGCCAUUGAUACUGUCGGACUUGAGUAAAUUAGAGGUAGCUGGAAUAAGGAGUGUAGCGGUGAAAUGCAUAGAUAUGCCGUAGAACACCGAUUGCGAAGGCAGGUUACCAGGAUAUAACUGACGCUGAUGGACGAAAGCGUGGGGAGCAAACAG